rnacentral:rRNA from 1 species
GACGAACGCUGGCGGCGUGCUUAACACAUGCAAGUCGAACGGAAAGGCCCUGCUUUUGUGGGGUGCUCGAGUGGCGAACGGGUGAGUAACACGUGAGUAACCUGCCCUUGACUUUGGGAUAACUUCAGGAAACUGGGGCUAAUACCGGAUAGGAGCUCCUGCUGCACGGUGGGGGUUGGAAAGUUUCGGCGGUUGGGGAUGGACUCGCGGCUUAUCAGCUUGUUGGUGGGGUAGUGGCUUACCAAGGCUUUGACGGGUAGCCGGCCUGAGAGGGUGACCGGCCACAUUGGGACUGAGAUACGGCCCAGACUCCUACGGGAGGCAGCAGUGGGGAAUAUUGCACAAUGGGCGGAAGCCUGAUGCAGCAACGCCGCGUGCGGGAUGACGGCCUUCGGGUUGUAAACCGCUUUCGCCUGUGACGAAGCGUGAGUGACGGUAAUGGGUAAAGAAGCACCGGCUAACUACGUGC